AAAGCUAUAGCUCAGCUGGGAGAGCGCCUGCCUUGCAUCCAGGCGGUCAGCGGUUCGAUCCCGUUUAGCUUCACCA
rnacentral:tRNA from 1 species